rnacentral:rRNA from 1 species
UAGGGAAUCUUCCACAAUGGACGAAAGUCUGAUGGAGCAACGCCGCAUGAGUGAAGAAGGGUUUCGGCUCGUAAUACUCUGUUGUUAAAGAAGAACAUAUCUGAGAGUAACUGUUCAGGUAUUGACGGUAUUUAACCAGAAAGCCACGGCUAACUACGUGCCAG